ACAAACCCUAACCCUAGCAAUAGCUUGAAUUCCAUGUGUUUGUCUGAUUGUCUCACCUUUAAUAGAUCCACCAUAUAUAUAUAUAUAGAAAGCUUAGAAGAACCACAGAACCAUACAGCUAGCUUGCUAGCCCACCAGUGAACAAGGUAGAGAUUUCUCCAUGAACUCUUUAAUUUCUUCCUUCCUUCCUUCCUCCUGAGAGUAAACCCUUUUUCAAGAUCUAAUUCAUGCAGUGAAUUGAUAUAUAUCUUCUGUUUCUUUUUGUAGAUUCAGGUGCUGCAAUGAUUAUGCAUGUUAAGAUCAGUGGUAGAGUGGUAGUAGAUGGAGGAGGAGGAGGAGGAGGAGAAAGUAUGUAUUCAUGUUGGAAAGUACUACUGGUAUAGAUGAUAACCGACGGUAUCCUAUCUGAGCUUUCAUUCUCCGUCAAAUUUUACUCACCAUCGAUCUUCUGCUUCUUUUCUGCCAUCCAACACCGUUAUCGAUCUUCUUGACCUUGUAAGACCUUUUCUUGACCUUGUAAGAUCCGAUAUAUGGGUGUAUAUCAAGUUAGCGACAAUCUUACCAAUUCCUUUCCACAUCUCCCAUCUCAAAAAACACCACUCCAUCUAUCCCUCCUGAGCUU
rnacentral:lncRNA from 1 species